ensembl:lncRNA
CUUAAGGCUGGAAGUUUGGGAUCGAGGCAAUGACAGGAUCAAGAUGCAAACUCAUAGCCGUUCCUACUACCACACCUGUGCUCGGCCAUCAUGGAUUCUAAGCUUGUGAAAUGAUUAGACGAUACGGAAGAUCCAAUAUAAUAAGCCUGAUUCUUACAGAAAAGUAUUAGUUUUUUUCCUGGACCUCGCCACUGUCCCCCUUCAUCUGGCCUUUACCUUUUCCUCACCUGUGACAAAGACUCUAUUACUGAAUCUACCGCUCUCCAAUUUGGAAAAUUAGCCUGUGCCCCACCUUCACUGAAACUCUGACCCCCUUGUACGACCACAGAGAGAGCUUCUUCCAGGGCUGCUGCCGUCUCAGUGUUAACCUAUGAUGUCACUGUGGCCAGGAUGGUGAUUUCCAUGGGAAGCAAGAAAGGAAGAUUUUGGAAAAUAAAAACUAUACUAGUCUACUCUCUGCUUUCCCUACCCCAAAGAGAUAAAUGCCAAGCGAUUGCUACCUCUGUUCCUGAGACUCCAG